GCGGAAGUGGUGGAAUUGGUAGACACGCUAUCUUGAGGGGGUAGUGCCUUAGGGUGUAUGGGUUCGAGUCCCAUCUUCCGCACCA
rnacentral:tRNA from 30 species